GGUUAAGUUAGAAAGGGCGCACGGUGAAUGCCUUGGCACUAGGAGCCGAUGAAGGACGGGACUAACACCGAUAUGCUUCGGGGAGCUGUAAGUGAGCUUUGAUCCGGAGAUUUCCGAAUGGGGAAACCCACUGUUCGUAAUGGAACAGUAUCUUUAUCUGAAUACAUAGGAUAUUGAAGGCAGACCCGGGGAACUGAAACAUCUAAGUACCCGGAGGAAGAGAAAGCAAAAUGCGAUUUCCUGAGUAGCGGCGAGCGAAACGGAAUUAGCUCCAAACCAAGAGGCUUGCCUCUUGGGGUUGUAGGACACUCUAUACGGAGUUACAAAGGAACGAAGUAAAUGAAGCGACCUGGAAAGGUCCGUCGAAGAAGGUAACAACCCUGUAGUUGAAACUUCGUUCCCUCUUGAGUGGAUCCUGAGUACGGCGGAACACGUGAAAUUCCGUCGGAAGCUGGGAGGACCAUCUCCCAAGGCUAAAUACUACCUAGUGACCGAUAGUGAACCAGUACCGUGAGGGAAAGGUGAAAAGCACCCCGGAAGGGGAGUGAAAGAGAUCCUGAAACCGUGUGCCUACAAGUAGUCAGAGCCCGUUAACGGGUGAUGGCGUGCCUUUUGUAGAAUGAACCGGCGAGUUACGAUCCCAUGCAAGGUUAAGCUGAUAAGGCGGAGCCGUAGCGAAAAGCGAGUCUGAAUAGGGCGUUUAGUAUGUGGUUGUAGACCCGAAACCAGGUGAUCUACCCAUGUCCAGGGUGAAGUUCAGGUAACACUGAAUGGAGGCCCGAACCCACGCACGUUGAAAAGUGCGGGGAUGAGGUGUGGGUAGCGGAGAAAUUCCAAUCGAACCUGGAGAUAGCUGGUUCUCUCCGAAAUAGCUUUUAGGGCUAGCCUCAUGUUGUGAGAGUCUUGGAGGUAGAGCACUGAUUGGACUAGGGGCCCCCAACGGGUUACCGAAUUCAGUCAAACUCCGAAUGCCAAAGACUUAUCCAUGGGAGUCAGACUGCGAGUGAUAAGAUCCGUAGUCAAAAAGGGAAACAGCCCAGACCACCAGCUAAGGUCCCCAAGUAUACGUUAAGUGGAAAAGGAUGUGGAGUUGCUUAGACAACCAGGAUGUUGGCUUAGAAGCAGCCACCAUUUAAAGAGUGCGUAAUAGCUCACUGGUCGAGUGACUCUGCGCCGAAAAUGUACCGGGGCUAAACGUAUCACCGAAGCUGUGGAUUGACAUCUUUGAUGUCAGUGGUAGGAGAGCGUUCUAAGUGCUGUGAAGUCAGACCGUAAGGACUGGUGGAGCGCUUAGAAGUGAGAAUGCCGGUAUGAGUAGCGAAAAGACAAGUGAGAAUCUUGUCCACCGAAUGCCUAAGGUUUCCUGAGGAAGGCUCGUCCGCUCAGGGUUAGUCGGGACCUAAGCCGAGGCUGAAAAGCGUAGGCGAUGGCCAACAGGUUGAUAUUCCUGUACCACCUCCCCGCCGUUUGAGUAAUGGGGGGACGCAGUAGGAUAGGGUAAGCGCGCUGCUGGAUAUGCGCGUUCAAGCAGUUAGGCUGAUGAGUAGGCAAAUCCGCUCAUCAUGAAGGCUGAGCUGUGAUGACGAGGGAAUUAUAGUACCGAAGUUCCUGAUUCCACACUGCCAAGAAAAGCCUCUAGCGAGGCGGGAGGUGCCCGUACCGCAAAACCGACACAGGUAGGCGAGGAGAGAAUCCUAAGGUGAUCGAGAGAACUCUCGUUAAGGAACUCGGCAAAAAUGACCCCGUAACUUCGGGAGAAGGGGUGCUCUGGUAGGGUGUAUAGCCCGAGAGAGCCGCAGUGAAUAGGCCCAGGCGACUGUUUAGCAAAAAAACACAGGUCUCUGCGAAGCCGCAAGGCGAAGUAUAGGGGCUGACGCCUGCCCGGUGCUGGAAGGUUAAGAGGAGGGGUUAUCCUUUGGGAGAAGCUCUGAAUCGAAGCCCCAGUAAACGGCGGCCGUAACUAUAACGGUCCUAAGGUAGCGAAAUUCCUUUGUCGGGUAAGUUCCGACCCGCACGAAAGGCGUAACGAUCUGGGCACUGUCUCAACGAGAGACUCGGUGAAAUUAUAGUACCUGUGAAGAUGCAGGUUACCCGCGACAGGACGGAAAGACCCCGUGGAGCUUUUACUGUAGCCUGAUAUUGAAUUUUGGUACAGCUUGUACAGGAUAGGUAGGAGCCUGAGAAGCCGGAGCGCUAGCUUCGGUGGAGGCGUCGGUGGGAUACUACCCUGGCUGUAUUGAAAUUCUAACCCGCGGCCCCUAAUCGGGCCGGGAGACAGUGUCAGGUGGGCAGUUUGACUGGGGCGGUCGCCUCCUAAAAUGUAACGGAGGCGCCCAAAGGUUCCCCUCAGAAUGGUUGGAAAUCAUUCGUAGAGUGUAAAGGCACAAGGGAGCUUGACUGCGAGACCUACAAGUCGAGCAGGGACGAAAGUCGGGCUUAGUGAUCCGGUGGUUCCGCAUGGAAGGGCCAUCGCUCAACGGAUAAAAAGCUACCCCGGGGAUAACAGGCUUAUCUCCCCAAGAGUCCACAUCGACGGGGAGGUUUGGCACCUCGAUGUCGGCUCAUCGCAUCCUGGGGCUGUAGUCGGUCCCAAGGGUUGGGCUGUUCGCCCAUUAAAGCGGUACGCGAGCUGGGUUCAGAACGUCGUGAGACAGUUCGGUCCCUAUCCGUCGUGGGCGUAGGAAAUUUGAGAGGAGCUGUCCUUAGUACGAGAGGACCGGGAUGGACACACCGCUGGUGUACCAGUUGUCUUGCCAAAGGCAUCGCUGGGUAGCUAUGUGUGGACGGGAUAAGUGCUGAAAGCAUCUAAGCAUGAAGCCCCCCUCAAGAUGAGAUUUCCCAUAGCGCAAGCUAGUAAGAUCCCUGAAAGAUGAUCAGGUUGAUAGGUCAGAGGUGGAAGCGUGGCGACAUGUGUAGCUGACUGAUACUAAUCGAUCGAGGACUUAACCAA
rnacentral:rRNA from 1 species